rnacentral:lncRNA from 1 species
AAGGGAAUAUGAAUACAGAGAAGAGUAACAUAAAUGACUAAUAUUUGUUUUGUUUUUUUAUAGGAACUUUUGAUCAGAAACUGGUCAGACAUUCCCAGAGUGGUUGAGAGCCUGUCAAGGUCACUGCCAAGGACAAGAGAGUCAAUUAGUAUGCAGAUCAGAGGCAAGGAGUUCAAAGGAUGAUUACAGUUCUCUUCUGCAAGAUGUUCGGAGUCUGAAUGACCUUGAAAAUUUAAGAGUGAAACUCUGAUACCACAACUUCCUCUUUCCUUCACUGUUUGUGUAUCAGCACACUUCUAGUUUGCUACUGACCAGCUACUAUGGACCAUGGUU